GGUUAAGCGACUAAGCGUACACGGUGGAUGCCCUGGCAGUCAGAGGCGAUGAAGGACGUGCUAAUCUGCGAAAAGCGCCGGCGAGGUGAUAUGAACCUUUGACCCGGCGAUGUCCGAAUGGGGAAACCCAGUGUGAUUCGUCACACUAUCGUUAACUGAAUACAUAGGUUAACGAGGCGAACCGGGGGAACUGAAACAUCUAAGUACCCCGAGGAAAAGAAAUCAACCGAGAUUCCCCCAGUAGCGGCGAGCGAACGGGGAGCAGCCCAG
rnacentral:rRNA from 2 species